GGUGCCUGUUGAGUAUCAUGAACACCUCAACUCUUCAUGGUUUUCUGUGAUGAGCUUGGACUUUGGGGGUUUUGCUGGCCUACAGUCAGCUCCUCCAAAAUGAAUCAGCUUGCCAGUGUUUGGUGGGCAUCACAGGUGUGAUAACUAUCUACGCUUGUGGUUUUCCACCAGGUAACCUUCAGCAGUGGAGGUUCACUGGAGCUCACAGACGUCUCUCCUCAGCGAGGACAGCUCUUUGAAUGUUUGAUCUCAAAUCAGGUAGGACUACCCGCUGAACUUAAGCAUAUCAAUAAGCGGAGG
rnacentral:rRNA from 1 species